CCUACGGGCGGCAGCAGUGAGGAAUAUUGGUCAAUGGGCGCGAGCCUGAACCAGCCAAGUCGCGUGAAGGAUGACUGCCCUACGGGUUGUAAACUUCUUUUAUAAAGGAAUAAAGUGAGGCACGUGUGCCUUUUUGUAUGUACUUUAUGAAUAAGGAUCGGCUAACUCCGUGCCAGCAGCCGCGGUAAUACGGAGGAUCCGAGCGUUAGCCGGUUUUAUUGGGUUUAAAGGGAGCGUAGAUGGGUUGUUAAGUCAGUUGUGAAAGUUUGCGGCUAAACCGUAAAAUUGCAAUUGAUACUGGCAGCCUUGAGUACAGAUGAGGUAGGAGGAAUGCGUGGUGUAGCGAUGAAAUGCUUAGAUAUCACGAAGAACUCCGAUUGCGAAGGCAGCUUACGAAACUGCCACUGACAUUGAUGCUCGAAAGUGUGGGUAUCAAACAGGAUUAGAUACCCGUGUAGUC
rnacentral:rRNA from 1 species